rnacentral:rRNA from 1 species
GACGAACGCUGGCGGCGUGCUUAACACAUGCAAGUCGAACGGAAAGGCCCUGCUUUUGUGGGUGCUCGAGUGGCGAACGGGUGAGUAACGCGUGAGUAACCUGCCCUUGACUUUGGGAUAACUUCAGGAAACUGGGGCUAAUACCGGAUAGGAGCUCCUGCUGCAUGGUGGGGGGUGGAAAGUUUCGGCGGUUGGGGAUGGACUCGCGGCUUAUCAGCUUGUUGGUGGGGUAGUGGCUUACCAAGGCUUUGACGGGUAGCCGGCCUGAGAGGGUGACCGGCCACAUUGGGACUGAGAUACGGCCCAGACUCCUACGGGAGGCAGCAGUGGGGAAUAUUGCACAAUGGGCGGAAGCCUGAUGCAGCAACGCCGCGUGCGGGAUGACGGCCUUCGGGUUGUAAACCGCUUUCGCCUGUGACGAAGCGUGAGUGACGGUAAUGGGUAAAGAAGCACCGGCUAACUACGUG